UACGUAGGGACCGAGCGUUGUCCGGAAUCAUUGGGCGUAAAGAGCGUGUAGGCGGCCACUUAAGUCCUGCGUGAAAUCUUGCGGCUCAACCGCAAGCGGUCGUGGGAAACUGGGUGGCUAGAGUGCUGGAGAGGAGACUGGAAUUUACGGUGUAGCAGUGAAAUGCGUAGAUAUCGUAAGGAAGACCAGUGGCGAAGGCGAGUCUCUGGACAGCAACUGACGCUGAGGCACGAAGGCCAGGGGAGCAAACGGG
rnacentral:rRNA from 1 species